GAAACUACUGCAUCUGCUUCCACUAUUCGUACACCUUGGCUGUGAGAAGGGACCACAGGGCACCUCCUACGGUCACUGCACGAAGAUUGGUUUACACCAGAGCUGCGCUGACGGAAUCAAUGAGAAUGUGUCAUGUCAUACCAACACGUGGAUAUCGACGGGUACUCGAAGACACCACGCUACAUGGCUAUAGACUUCCAGAGGUCGUCGUCGAUGUUUGGGAGAGCAUUUGGCAAAAUGUUGUUUAUUUCAAACGUUUACCGGAAUCUUGCAAAAAUUUCAACUUCUUCCAGCUGAUGGUAUUAACCUGAAGUACUCUAGUCUUGAGGGCGUUACUCUUGCACCAAAACCUUAUGACAUUAUUUUCAAAUCUCGGUAAUGUUGCAACGCCACAGAAAUAUAAUGAUUGUCAUUAUUGUAAUUAAAAAUGAAAUCUAAUA